rnacentral:rRNA from 1 species
CGAACGGGUGCGUAACACGUGAACAACCUGCCCUCGUGUGGGGGAUAGCCAUGCUAACGCGUGGGUAAUACCGCAUACGUUCCUUUGGGGGAGUCUCCGAGGGAAGAAAGCUCUGGCGCACGGGGAGGGGUUCGCGGCCUAUCAGCUAGUUGGUGCGGUAACGGCGCACCAAGGCGACGACGGGUAGCUGGUCUGAGAGGAUGGCCAGCCACAUUGGGACUGAGAUACGGCCCAG